UACGUAGGGUGCAAGCGUUAAUCGGAAUUACUGGGCGUAAAGCGUGCGCAGGCGGUUUGCUAAGACAGGUGUGAAAUCCCCCGGGCUUAACCUGGGAACUGCGCUUGUAACUGGCAAGCUGGAGUGUGGCAGAGGGGGGUGGAAUUCCGACGUGUAGCAGUGAAAUGCGUAGAGAUGUGGAGGAACACCGAUGGCGAAGGCAGCCCCCUGGGCUAACACUGACGCUCAUGCACGAAAGCGUGGGAGCAAACAGG
rnacentral:rRNA from 1 species